rnacentral:rRNA from 1 species
GGCUUAGAGUUUGAUCAUGGCUCAGGACGAACGCUGGCGGCGUGCCUAAUACAUGCAAGUCGAGCGAGCGGAACUAACAGAUUUACUUCGGUAAUGACGUUAGGAAAGCGAGCGGCGGAUGGGUGAGUAACACGUGGGGAACCUGCCCUAUAGUCUGGGAUACCACUUGGAAACAGGUGCUAAUACCGGAUAAGAAAGCAGAUCGCAUGAUCAGCUUUUAAAAGGCGGCGUAAGCUGUCGCUAUGGGAUGGCCCCGCGGUGCAUUAGCUAGUUGGUAAGGUAAAGGCUUACCAAGGCGAUGAUGCAUAGCCGAGUUGAGAGACUGAUCGGCCACAUUGGGACUGAGACACGGCCCAAACUCCUACGGGAGGCAGCAGUAGGGAAUCUUCCACAAUGGACGCAAGUCUGAUGGAGCAACGCCGCGUGAGUGAAGAAGGUUUUCGGAUCGUAAAGCUCUGUUGUUGGUGAAGAAGGAUAGAGGUAGUAACUGGCCUUUAUUUGACGGUAAUCAACCAGAAAGUCACGGCUAACUACGUGCCAGCAGCCGCGGUAAUACGUAGGUGGCAAGCGUUGUCCGGAUUUAUUGGGCGUAAAGCGAGCGCAGGCGGAAGAAUAAGCCUGAUGUGAAAGCCCUCGGCUUAACCGAGGAACUGCAUCGGAAACUGUUUUUCUUGAGUGCAGAAGAGGAGAGUGGAACUCCAUGUGUAGCGGUGGAAUGCGUAGAUAUAUGGAAGAACACCAGUGGCGAAAGCGGCUCUCUGGUCUGCAACUGACGCUGAGGCUCGAAAGCAUGGGUAGCGAACAGGAUUAGAUACCCUGGUAGUCCAUGCCGUAAACGAUGAGUGCUAAGUGUUGGGAGGUUUCCGCCUCUCA